UGCGGGGUCGGUAACUUUGCGAAAUCAAAGGCUUGCGGGCUAAGUGAUUGAUUUUCAUAACUUAUUGGAAUCGUUAAAUUAUAGGCUCAUAACCUGAAGGUCGUCAGUUCAAAUCUGACUCCCGCAACCA
rnacentral:tRNA from 1 species